UCUGGCAAAGUCUCAAAUUUUGCUCUUUUGCUUUCAAAGUACUCUAUUAUUCUUACAAAAAAAAACCAAGAAAAAAACCAGUACCACUUUCUUAGAAACCGUUCCCCCAUGAUCUCAAAGUUCUUUCCCUCAACCAAGUUCUCUCCCAAUUUCAUAAACGAAGUCUUCAUCUGUAUAAUCCAUUGUAUCAAAAGUAAAUACAGAUACAUUAACAUCUUCUUCUCUAGAUUCUCAAAACCUAAUUAGAUCCUCCAUUCUUUCUUCUAAAUCCGCCAUCAAAACUACAGAGAAAUGAAAAAGAAAAAUUAUUCAGCCUCUCUAACCAAUUCUGACAUUGGACGAAGAUUGGUGGUAAACAAAUCAAAUACCCACUCAAAUCUCUCUGGACGAUGCUGAAAACUGAAAACAAUGAAAGGUGAGGCUUACACUUCAGCGAGGGAUUUCACCAAGAUGAUGGUUCAUCAAUGAUGCGUGAAGUUAACUUCUCAAUUGACGGAUCCUAACAAACUGACUUUGGCCCACAUAAACGCCGUAGGUAUACUAUGGUUUAGUGAAUAUAGAAUGAUGAGAGUCUGAAGAAAAUUCAAAAUGGAAUAUAGGAAUAAAGAAGAGAAGCGGAACCAUGAAAAAAGACACCAAGCUACUGUAACGUAUAAUUCUUGCAAAAUCAUGAACGUUUGUAUUAUUUUUCUAUACUUCGAUGAUUCUAUCACAAUUGCCUGUA